AUUGAACGCUGGCGGCAGGCCUAACACAUGCAAGUCGAGCGAGCGGCGGACGGGUGAGUAAUGUAUGGGGAUCUACCCGAUAGAGGGGGAUAACUACUGGAAACUGUGGCUAAUACCGCAUCCUGUCCGAUGAGCCCAUAUGGGAUUUGCUAGUAGGUGGGGUAAAGGCUCACCUAGGCGACGAUCUCUAGCUGGACUGAGAGGAUGAGCAGCCACACUGGGACUGAGACACGGCCCAGACUCCGACGGGAGGAGGCAGUGGGGAAUAUUGCACAAGGGGCGCAAGACUGAUGCAGCCAGGCCGCGUGUAUGAAGAAGGCCUUAGGGUUGUAAAGUACUUUCAGCGGGGAGGCGUUACCCGCAGAAGAAGCACCGGCUAACUCCGUGCCAGCAGCCGCGGUAAUUC
rnacentral:rRNA from 1 species